UACGGAGGGUGCGAGCGUUGUCCGGAAUCAUUGGGCGUAAAGGGCGCGUAGGUGGCCCGCUCAGCGUGCGGUGAAAGCUCGGGGCUCAACCCCGAGUCGGCCGUGCGAACUGGUGGGCUGGAGCACUGUAGAGGCAGGCGGAAUUCCGGGUGUAGCGGUGGAAUGCGUAGAGAUCCGGAGGAAGACCGGUGGCGAAGGCGGUCUGCUGGGCAGUUACUGAC
rnacentral:rRNA from 1 species